rnacentral:rRNA from 1 species
CCUACGGGAGGCAGCAGUGGGGAAUCUUGCGCAAUGGGCGAAAGCCUGACGCAGCGAUGCCGCGUGCGGGAUGAAGGCCUUCGGGUCGUAAACCGCUUUCAGCAGGGACGAGGCCGCAAGGUGACGGUACCUGCAGAAGAAGCCCCGGCUAACUACGUGCCAGCAGCCGCGGUAAUACGUAGGGGGCGAGCGUUAUCCGGAUUCAUUGGGCGUAAAGCGCGCGUAGGCGGCCUGUUAGGUCAGGAGUUAAAUCCGGGGGCUCAACCCCCGUCCGCUCCUGAUACCGGCAGGCUUGAGUCUGGUAGGGGAAGGCGGAAUUCCAAGUGUAGCGGUGGAAUGCGCAGAUAUUUGGAAGAACACCGGUGGCGAAGGCGGCCUUCUGGGCCACGACUGACGCUGAGGCGCGAAAGCUAGGGGAGCGAACAGGAUUAGAUACCCGGGUAGUC